CACACACACGCAUGUGCGCUCACACACAAAUAUGCAUGUGCACACACAUGCAUACACACACACACACACAUGCACGUGUCCGCACACACAAACAUGCACGUGCACACACACGCAUAGACACACACACGUCUCUCGCACACGAACAAACACAUUCACCAGUGCACUCUCACACGCACACACAUGCAUGCACACACAUUCACAAAUUCACACACACAAACACACUCUCACCCAAUCACACACACACACUCAUCGACACACUUGCAACCUUCCUUGACCAAUGCCUUACCAGUGCAAUUUCAGCUGUGCCCAAUAUUAUAUAUAUAUAUCCUUAGUACAGCCUAACCCCUGUACAUAAGAGUAUUAUCUUUUAGCAGUUCAGGUUAAGCACUUGCUGUCUAAAUGUGAUUUUUUUACAUUUUAAUACAUUUAUAUUGCAAAUGUUCAAGGUGUGUUUAUGUACUUUUAUUAAAACAUUAAUAUAACAUUGAGAGUAAUAAUGCCAAAAGAUGGCAGGGUAAAAUGUUUUUGAAGUAAUAAUUCUAUCUCCUGUAUCUGCAUAUUUUUUAAAAGAAUCCAGUGGCAAACUCCUCCAGUUAAAUGUGCAUUUUACUAGUUUUUACAGUUGCUUUCAUUAAUUUUCACAAGAGUUCCAAUGUGCAAAUUUCUGUUGGCAAAUGCAGCUGAUAGGGAGAAUGCAGAAUGAUCACUGCAGUGUACUUAUUUCCUUUCAUUACUGUAAACAAUGAUGGAUUGAGUUUCCUUACUAAUUCUUUUAGGAUUGUUUUUUUGUUUUGUUUGUUUUUUGCUUUAAUUUUCUGUAUUUUCAGACAAUAAUAUGCAAUGAUUAAACCUGAAUUAUAAACAUAU